rnacentral:tRNA from 1 species
GGGGGUCUAAAGUUUAGUGUUUCGCUUCUAACGAGAUAAAGGGAAGCUAACGGCUCCCAGGCCUCU